GACCCAGUAGCGGAUGGUUCGCGCCCGCACUCUGUAUCGGAGGUGAUACUAUACACGUCGAGGCUGGAGCUCCUGGUUCGACUCCGGGCUGGGUCA